GUGGUUAUUUUUGCAACAUUCUGAUAUUAGAUAUUGGUAAUUUCUGAUAUUAGAUAUUGGUAAUAUGAUAAUUAAUAUUAUUUUAUUGUAUUAAAUAGUUCUAACUAAAAGAGGCCUGCAACAUAUAGAGGUUCGAAUCACAGUUUUUCUUAUCAGCAUGUUUUUAAACAUUAUAGGUAUAAUUGGCUGGAGAAAAGAAAAAGUAAUUCAUCUGCAAGUGUCAUUUUCCUGAAUGAAUGCCAAACAGACUAAGUUUGGAUUGAAUUUGCAGUUUAUUUUUACCCCUUAAUUAAUUUUCCUGAUGCACUUUAUUGAUAAUAACAUGCUCAUGAAUAGUAUAGAUACGAAAGUUCACCUAUAUUUUUAACAGAAUCACGUGAGUACGUUUAGCCACCAAUUUACUAAACAUAUAUACAAUACGCAUGCAGAGAAGUAUCUUACAGUGGCAAAUAUCUGAUUUUUCUCAUAAAACAAUCGUUGAGAUUAAAAAUAUUUUCACGAUUUAAUGUGGAUUUGUAUAUUCGAACAAUGUAUGGCUCUUUUAGUUAUACUUGAAGCUAAUACUGUAGUUACUUGUUUUAUCAGUGACAUUCUUUUAGGCUUUUGGCGUUGGGACGAAAUGGACAUACAUGUAGCUAGGACGAAACAACUUUCGCUGUGGGGCGAACAAUUAAAUAUCUCCACACACACGAUUGAUUCCCUUUUUUUUAAAUAUUUAUUUAUUUAUUUUUUUAAUAAAUAGAACCGACUAUGGGAGCCAUUUGUGCGGUAACUCUAGGGGAAAAUACGGAGUUGUGGUUCUUGUUGGUUCCUGCUUAUAAGAGUAGCCUCUCGGAACACCAUUCCCACACUUCGAUGGUCAACCAGCGAAGAGUACGCACCGCAAGUGAUAACCAGCAUUUGACUCUUAAAUCAGCGCUUCUUUGUUAACGGGUAGUGCAGAAGCAUGAGCAGUGCAAUUAACAAUCAGCAAUGGUCUCGCCUUCGGCAAGAACAGGAAAGGGCAUUGUCUGACACCAGUCAGCAGAUCUCUCAGCAUGAAAAGUUCAGAUCAGAUUACUCCACUCUUCGUGAGAGACUGCUGACUUUGCCCAACAAAUUACUACAUAACGUAAUGGUUCCAUUCGGGGACUUGGCAUUCAUGCCAGGUCGUUUGAUACAUACAAACGAAUUGUUGGUGCUCCUUGGAGAUAGCUACUUCCUAGAAUGCUCUGCCAUCCAAGCAGCUGACAUUGCUUCUCGCAGACUAAAAGAACUUGACAAAAAAUUAGCACAGCUUCAGCAGCAGAAGCAAUUGCUUCUUCCACGUGCUUAUUUCACACAGGAGUUUCUUAAUAUGUCCAAGGGUGAGGGAGAAUUGGUGGAAAUUAGAGAAAAGUUUGAUGAAGAAAAUGAAAAACAGUGGAAAGCUGAUCAUACAGAACGUGUUCAGAAGGCUCGACAGCAAGAGAAUAAGGAGAGGGCAGCUGGAGGCAUUCUGACAGAUGAAGAACUUAUGAAAAGACUGGAUGAGCUUGAGGAGCAGGAGCUGAAGAGUUUUAGGCUAAAAGAAGCAAAAGACUGUAGAUGAAGAAAGUGAUGAUGAUGGUGAGGAGGAGGAUAAUGAGGACAGAGAUCAUAAAGUCUCAGCGCCAGACAAAAUCAUCAGAUUUUCUCACACAAAAAGAGUCUUCACUGGAGAGGUUUCAGGUCAACAGGCUGCCAGUGACAGCAAUGGUGGGAGCAUUAACAUUAAAACUCCUGCAGAUCUCUACAAACUUGUGCAGAGCCCACCUUACUAAAUUCUCAAGAAGCCUGGUAAAAAUAAUGCAGGCAAACAGCAUCAAGGUCUUGGUGGUCAUAGUGCAGUCAGCCCCAAGAGCUUGACACAAAAAAAGAUGGUCACCUUUGAAGACAAUUCCCCUACCAGGUCACUGGCCAUGGGAGAAGCAAGCACGACAGUUUCAAGGGUGUGUAUACUUUCAAAAGAGCACGAAGAAAAUAAGACAUAUGAUGAAUGGACAUGGGGAUGAAUCCAGAGAUAGAGCAGCUGUUAAGGCUUUUAGAAACACAGUGAUAGAGAAAAUGCAGCAGGAAACAACCUCAUGUGAGAGACAUUCUAUGGCUAACCAGAUGGAGAGUGCCAGACCGACAUCCAGAUUCAAAGCCUCUAGACAGAAACCCAAGUAGCAGCGGGUGGCAAUCACGGUCAUGUGGAUGAGCAAAUGUAAUGGUGAAUCUGGUGUUUCUGCUACAUUGCCAUAGACUGAAAACAUUGUACUGGGUGUUCCUGCACGCUCGUGUCGAGUACAAACUGUGGCAGAUCUGAUUUUCUUACAGUAUAUACAUUCAUUCAACAUUUCCGUUUUUCUCUUAUAUCACUUUCUCAGCAUCUCUAGGAUAAGUGUUUUGGUUGAGGGGCUUUUUCUAUGCUGCACUGAAACUGCACGGCAUUUCCUUUGUCACAUUGACUCUAAUAACCAUGUUAAAAAUGCUUUAAAGACGUACCUGUUCAAGAAAUACUUUCACUACUUGCUGCGCUAGAGUUUACAUUCUCCUUUACUCCCUUAUAAAUAGAAAUCUAUCACAAUAACUUUCUCAGUAUUAUAUGGAGAGAGAGAGAGACUUCAAAAAUAAUGACCUUGUUCACGUUGUUUAGCUUAUGUGUACGUAACGAUGCAAUGAGAUUCCCCAGGGGAUCACCAUUAAGUUGUAUUGUAUGGUUGUAUGUUGAUCUUCUGUGCAUUUCUUUGGAGCAUUCAGCGAUAACACCUUAAAAAAGACAUGUAGAAGAAUUCACAUGCUUCCGAGCAAUGUACAUCUACUUAUAUAGAGCUUACGACCAUGGCAUAACAAAAACACAUAAAGAGAUUUAUUUGUGUGUGACUUCUUAGAGUAGACGGAACGGACUUAAUUGUUACAUGCGUAUAUUGUGUAUAUUGCGAAACUCCAGGGUUUCAAAACUCGAUCAUACUUAUCAAUUAAACUCAUUUUACAAUUGAU
rnacentral:misc_RNA from 1 species